CUACGGGACGCUCCAGUGGGGAAUAUUGCACAAUGGGCGAAAGCCUGAUGCAGCAACGCCGCGUGAACGAUGAAGGCCUUCGGGUUGUAAAGUUCUUUUCUUGGAGAAGAAUCCAUGACGGUAUCCAAGGAAUAAGCCCCGGCUAACUACGUGCCAGCAGCCGCGGUAAUACGUAGGGGGCAAGCGUUAUCCGGAAUCACUGGGCGUAAAGGGAGUGUAGGCGGUCAAGCAAGUCAGGGGUGAAAGGCAUCGGCUCAACCGAUGUAAGCCUUUGAAACUGUUUGACUUGAGUGCAGGAGAGGUAAGUGGAAUUCCUAGUGUAGCGGUGAAAUGCGUAGAUAUUAGGAGGAACACCAGUGGCGAAGGCGACUUACUGGACUGUAACUGACGCUGAGGCUCGAAAGCGUGGGGAGCGAACAGGAUUAGAUACCCCUGUAGUC
rnacentral:rRNA from 1 species